ACUUAAGUAGUUUAAUAAAAUGUUGAUUUGUGGUGUCAGAGUUGCAUGAUUUGCCUUAGGUU
rnacentral:tRNA from 1 species